rnacentral:lncRNA from 10 species
CGAGGCGGAGGCGGCAAAACGGGCGGUCGAGCAGAACGUGUAGCCGCGUCCCCUCCAGUCCGCUCCGGGCAGCUGCUGAUGCAAGGAAUCCCCUGGGCUCCCGUCCACUCCACUGCUGACCAGCCCAUUCGCCUGUGCUGAGUCUUCCUGCAGGCCUUUCCUUGCCUCUGUGGGACCCUGUGGGGGUCCAUCCGGCUGGAGAAGAAAAGCCUCUCAUGCUAACGUUGCAGACCCCAGAGGGUGAGAGAAAGGGGGACUUCAUUCAGUCUUGAAACCUGUGUGCUCAGCCCCCAAGGCAUCAGGAAUUCUUCCUGCCCAGAGAAUCAAGGCAGCUUCAUUUUUUUCGUACCUUGGUCAGUGGUUCUCAACCUUUUUGUUAUCAAGGCACUUUUUGUUGUACAUAUGUCCUGUUGCCCCCUGCAUUUUUAUCUGCCAAACUGUACUGAUGGAGUAACCAUUGACUUUUCCCUUCCUAAAUUAAGGAAGACGUCUAUGAUGGAGUGUACAAUAAAAUCAGUGUCCCAAUGAUUCGUAUGAUGUCAUCAACAACCAAUCAGAGCUUCUGAUCAGCAUGAGAUAAUCAGUGUGACCACAAUGAGUUGAUAAAAUUUCAGCAUGAAAAGAUAA